GGUAGUAUGGCUGAAAUAUAAGCGGUAGGCUGUAAACCUAUACAUAGGUAUUUUCCUUGCUGCCA
rnacentral:tRNA from 1 species